UACGUAGGGGGCCAGCGUUGUCCGGAAUCAUUGGGCGUAAAGCGCGCGUAGGCGGCCAGAUAAGUCCGGUGUGAAAGUCAAAGGCUCACCUUUGAAUGCCGCUGGAAACUGUCUGGCUUGAGUCCGGAAGGGGCGAGUGGAAUUCCUGGUGUAGCGGUGAAAUGCGCAGAUAUCAGGAAGAACACCCGUGGCUAAGGCGGCUCUCUAGUACGGUACUGGACGCUGAGACGCGAAAGCGU
rnacentral:rRNA from 1 species